rnacentral:rRNA from 1 species
GACGAACGCUGGCGGCGUGCUUAACACAUGCAAGUCGAACGGUGAACCAGGGCUUGCCCUGGGGAUCAGUGGCGAACGGGUGAGUAACACGUGGGCAACCUGCCCCUGACUCUGGGAUAACUUCGGGAAACCGAAGCUAAUACCGGAUACGACCUCUGACGGCAUCGACGGAGGUGGCAAGUUUAUCGGUCAGGGAUGGGCCAGCGGCCUAUCAGCGUGUUGGUGGGGUAAUGGCCCACAAAGGCGACGACGGGUAGCCGGCCUGAGAGGGGGACCGGCCACACUGGGACUGAGACACGGCCCAGACUCCUACGGGAGGCAGCAGUGGGGAAUAUUGCGCAAUGGGCGAAAGCCUGACGCAGCGACGCCGCGUGAGGGAUGAAGGCCUUCGGGUUGUAAACCUCUUUCAGCAGGGACGAAGCGAAAGUGACUGUACCUGCAGAAGAAGCACCGGCUAACUACGUGCCAGCCGCCGCCGUAA